AAAGAGUCCUCAGAAGUGUCCUGAGCGGUCGCAGGGUAAUGACGUCGGCCGUAUCGGGGAUGCUGGAACCUGCGGUUGAGUGAGAAACCGGCGCCACCGCCUGCGUCUUGGUCUCGGGCUGGUGGCCAGCGGGGUCUGGGCGUGGUUUUACCCAGCUCCUUUGCGAAGCUGCUGUCCUUUCCUCAACGUUACCACCCGGCUGGGCAGCCUACCCUCGCAGCAACAGGUGUGCACCUUCCAAGCUUGCAACAGACCACAUUCAGAAGCUUGAUUUCUUGUUGUUCUGGGAAUAUCUGGAUCAGAGGUAACAUGGUUCACUAGGACUCCUCAGCUUCACCCAGUGUCCAUUUCACCUCCCCCGGCCUUCCAAUGUCUCUUCUUGCAGAUUUCUCCAAGCCACUCUCCCCGUCAUCUCCUCCACCCCCAGGACCCAACUCCUGCCCCUCCCACCCUAGCCCCUGUUCUCCCUGCCCACCUCCUACCCCACUGGAGUGGCCUUUCAUCAAACCUAAACCAAAGAAACCAACAGACCUUGCUGUCACCACUACUCCGGGACCUGGAAGUUAAAGCGAGGGAGAGACGGUGAAACACAGAAAGCAGAACGCCUUCUGUUCUUCCACAACACAGGGUUUGUGGACGUGGCCACUAUAAGAACUCGCACUGCGUGCUGAUUAUACUCCUCAGCACAAUUCAUUUCUUAAACUUUUUAGAAUAAUUUAAAAUUUACAAAAAGUUGCAAAAAUAAAAACCAG
rnacentral:lncRNA from 1 species